rnacentral:rRNA from 1 species
GAUGAACGCUGGCGGCGUGCCUAAUACAUGCAAGUCGAGCGCACAUACGCGGAGCUUGCUCCUCUGACGUUAGCGGCGGACGGGUGAGUAACACGUGGAUAACCUACCUAUAAGACUGGGAUAACUUCGGGAAACCGGAGCUAAUACCGGAUAAUAUAUUGAACCGCAUGGUUCAAUAGUGAAAGACGGUUUUGCUGUCACUCAUAGAUGGAUCCGCGCCGCAUUAGCUAGUUGGUAAGGUAACGGCUUACCAAGGCCACGAUGCGUAGCCGAACUGAGAGGGUGAUCGGCCAAACUGGAACUGAGGAACGGUCCAGACUCCUACGGGAGGCAGCAGUAGGGAAUCUUCCGCAAUGGGCGAAAGCCUGACGGAGCAACGCCGCGUGAGUGAUGAAGGUCUUCGGAUCGUAAAACUCUGUUAUUAGGGAAGAACAAAUGUGUAAGUAACUAUGCACGUCUUGACGGUACCUAAUCAGAAAGCCACGGCUAACUACGUG